AUCGAUCACUACCUUGCUGGUGCUUCACAGGGAUGGAACAGACUCAAAGUCCUUCAAUGUUGUUAACUUGUUGAAUGCCUUGUACACGCUGUUCAACGCCAUCAUUUCCAACUAUGACAUCUAAAAGGUUGAAAGCAUCGACGAUGCCUACAUGUUGGUCUCCUGCCUACUGAUCCGUAAUGGCAGCCGUCAUGCUGGUAUGAUCGUCUCCGCUGCAUGGCAUCUCCUGGAGGGCGUUGAUAGUUGAUCAUGCCACACAAACAAGAUGAGAAACUCAAACUCCGCAUCGGUAUUCACUCAGGGCAAAGGUGAAAGUCUGACGUACUGGCUCGAGGGACAUGAUCCAUGCUACAAGAUCGACCGAAUCAAGCCACCCAAACAAAACUUGUAAACAACCAGAAUAUUAUCCCAACAUUAUCUGCAACGCAUUUGGAUCAACAAUUUUUUGUAAAGAGGUGAUGGCAGAUCUACCAGCUCACUUCACAUCAGAGAGCUCUCUUGAGAAGCACUAUAGAAG
rnacentral:lncRNA from 1 species